GGCACGCACAGGAACCGAACCUAGCUUCUGCCAGUGGCCAGGAGGCUGUCACAUAAACCGUGUAAUGUCAGCGGAACGAGAGGUGCUAUCAUAGGAGCGGAGAGGUGCUAUCAUAGGAGCGGACACAGGCAGUCACCAAGGAGGAGAGAGAGAAGAGGAAGGGCGGAUUUUGAUGCACUUACCCCUUGGGCUAACCCUGAAAUGCUGAAGGACCGAACACCAUUCCAGCAGAUCCCCAAUGGAACCACGUCUGCCUUACCCAGAGCAGGCCCAUUUGGGAAGGUUUCCUGCCUGGGGUCGCACCCUCCUUGUGGCUCAGGGACACCGGCUUCUGCUGGGAAACAGUGACAUCAACAGGAAAGCCAUGCAGGUUGGAGCCCCUCAGACUUCUGAUGGAAGGAUGGCCCCUUUUGCUCUUCCAUGGGCUAGUUCCACUGACCCUGCAGCUGCAGCAGACAACUUCACCCUGAACCUCUACUUUGGUUGGAGCUUAAGUACCACAGACUUCUAUGUCACCUUUCAUAUUGGCUAAAGACACGCUGGCCUCAGACCAACAGUAAAUUCUUUCUAGAAAUCAAACACUUUAUCAAGGGGGCGCCUGGGUGGUUCAAUGGUUGAGUGUCUGCCUUCGGCUCAGGGCAUGAUCCUGGGGUCCUUGAAUCGAGUCCUGUAUCAGGCUCCCUGCCUAUGUC